rnacentral:rRNA from 1 species
GACGUAGGGGGCAAGCGUUGUUCGGAAUUAUUGGGCGUAAAGCGCUCGUAGGUGGGAUUGCAAGUUCGGGUUGAAAGACCUCGGCUCAACUGAGGAAUAGGUUCGAAUACUGCGAUUCUUGAGGCAAUCAGAGGGUGAUGGAAUUCCCGGUGUAGCGGUGAAAUGCGUAGAUAUCAGGAGGAACACCGGUGGUGUAGACGGCUUUCUGGACCAUAACUGACGCUGAGACACGAAAGCGUGGGUAGCAAACAGG